rnacentral:rRNA from 1 species
AUUGAACGCUGGCGGCAGGCCUAACACAUGCAAGUCGAGCGGAUGAAGGGAUCUUGCUCCUGGAUUCAGCGGCGGACGGGUGAGUAAUGCCUAGGAAUCUGCCUGGUAGUGGGGGAUAACGUCCGGAAACGGGCGCUAAUACCGCAUACGUCCUGAGGGAGAAAGUGGGGGAUCUUCGGACCUCACGCUAUCAGAUGAGCCUAGGUCGGAUUAGCUAGUUGGUGGGGUAAAGGCCUACCAAGGCGACGAUCCGUAACUGGUCUGAGAGGAUGAUCAGUCACACUGGAACUGAGACACGGUCCAGACUCCUACGGGAGGCAGCAGUGGGGAAUAUUGGACAAUGGGCGAAAGCCUGAUCCAGCCAUGCCGCGUGUGUGAAGAAGGUCUUCUGAUUGUAAAGCACUUUAAGUUGGGAGGAAGGGCAGUAAGUUAAUACCUUGCUGUUUUGACGUUACCAACAGAAUAAGCACCGGCUAACUUCGUG